GCGAAUGAAACGUGUCGAAAAUCAUCUGCUGAAAUUACUGUCACCAUGUGUCAUAUUGUUUCUAUGCUCACACGCCCAACAAUUGCACAGAAAUAGAGAGCAGAAAGAAUAAGGAGCUACAGACGACGAAGAAAUAUGGUAAAUAAGAGAACAAAGCAAGAAUUCAAGAAAGAAAUUGAAGAGCAUAAGCCGGGUUCAACACGACAUUGUUGUAUGCCAUCUGCCUGGAAGAACAACACGUGGCGUGGUAUACAAGCCACAUGCUGUCACUUACUCAGUGAGAGUGCACUGCUA
rnacentral:lncRNA from 1 species